UACGGGGGGGGGCAAGCGUUGUUCGGAAUUACUGGGCGUAAAGGGCUCGUAGGUGGCCAACUAAGUCAGACGUGAAAUCCCUCAGCUUAACUGGGGAACUGCGUCUGAUACUGGAUGGCUUGAGUUUGGGAGAGGGAUGCGGAAUUCCAGGUGUAGCGGUGAAAUGCGUAGAUAUCUGGAGGAACACCGGUGGCGAAGGCGGCAUCCUGGACCAAUACUGACACUGAGGAGUGAAAGCCAGGGGAGCAAACGGG
rnacentral:rRNA from 1 species